GAGCAAAGUUUUGAUCACUACUCGUAAUAAAGAAAUCGCUCUGCAUGCCACUUCACAAGCAUUUAUCUAUGAACUUCGUCUCAUGAAUGAUGAUGAGAGUUGGCAGCUUUUUCUCAAAAAAACUUUUCAAGGAACAAGCACACCUCAUACUCUAAUUAGGGAGUUAGAGGAACCGGGAAAGAAAAUUGUGGCAAAAUGCAAAGGUUUGCCUCUUGCGGUUGUGGUCUUAGGAGGCUUACUGUCCACAAAAGAGAAGACAAAACCAUCAUGGGAGAAAGUGCUUGCAAGUAUUGAGUGGUAUCUGGAUCAAGGCCCUGAAUCGUGCAUGGGAAUUCUUGCUUUAAGUUACAAUGACUUGCCCUAUUACUUGAAGUCUUGUUUUCUUUAUUGUGGGAUUUUUCCAGAGGAUUCUGAGAUUAAGGCAAGUAAGUUGAUCCGUUUGUGGCUGGCUGAAGGCUUUAUACAGAGAAGGGGAAAAGAAACACUGGAAGACAUAGCCGAAGACUACAUGCACGAGUUGAUCCAUAGAAGUUUGAUUCAAGUGGCUGAACGAAGGGUAGAUGGAGGAGUGGAGUCUUGUCGCAUGCAUGAUCUCCUUCGAGACCUCGCUGUUUUAGAGGCCAAGGAUGCAAAAUUUUUUGAGGUACAUGAAAACAUUGAUUUCACAUUCCCUAUUAGUGUUCGUCGGCUUGUCAUUCAUCAAAAUCUCAUGAAGAAGAACAUUUCUAAAUGCUUGCAUAAUUCCCAACUCAGAUCUUUGGUUUCAUUUAGUGAAACUACAGGAAAAAAAAGUUGGAGAUAUUUACAAGAGCAUAUUAAAUUACUUACUGUUUUGGAGCUAGGAAAGACAAAUAUGCUUCCAAGGGAUAUAGGAGAAUUCAUUCACUUGAAAUUCUUGUGCAUAAAUGGACAUGGUAGAGUAACGCUUCCAUCGUCCAUUUGUAGACUGGUUAAUCUGCAGAGUCUUAACUUAGGAGAUCAUUAUGGCAGUAUACCAUAUUCAAUUUGGAAAUUGCAGCAAUUGAGACAUCUAAUUUGUUGGAAUUGCAAGAUUUCUGGCCAAUCCAAAACAAGCAAGUGUGUGAAUGGUUAUUUGGGUGUGGAGCAACUCACUAACCUUCAAACAUUAGCUUUACAGGGGGGGAGUUGGUUGGAGGGAGAUGGCCUGGGAAAAUUAACCCAACUUAGGAAAUUGGUAUUAGGUGGGUUGUUGACUCCCUAUUUGAAGAAGGGGUUUUUUGAGUCCAUUACUAAAUUAACUGCUCUUCAAACCUUGGCUUUGGGCAUUGAAAAGUAUUCAAAGAAAAGAUUGUUAAAUCAUCUUGUUGGAUUAGAGCGGCAGAAGAAUGUCAUUGAGGAGAAAACAUUAUUCCCAGGACUCGUGCCUUUUUCAUGCCACGCCUAUCUUGAUGUAGUAAAUUUAAUAGGGAAGUUUGAGAAAUUACCGGAGCAAUUUGAAUUUUACCCUCCAAACCUCCUCAAACUCGGAUUGUGGGAUUGUGAGUUAAGAGAUGAUCCAAUGAUGAUUCUAGAGAAGUUGCCAUCAUUGAGAAAGCUUGAAUUAGGUUCUGAUGCAUAUGUUGGAAAAAAAAUGAUAUGUUCUUCUGGAGGGUUCCUUCAACUUGAAAGCUUAAUAUUGAUCGGAUUAAAUAAAUUGGAGGAACUGACAGUAGAGGAAGGAGCAAUGAGUAGUCUAAAAACCUUGGAAAUUUGGUCUUGUGGUAAAAUGAAAAAGCUUCCUCAUGGAUUGUUACAAUUGACAAAUCUUGAGAAACUAUCAUUGCGAGGGUCAUCAUACCACGAAUCAAUUGAAGAGAUUGAAAAGGCCGGGGGAGAAGACUGGGAUAAGCUCCGUAAGAUCAUGUGCUAAUGCUUAUUUUAAGCUUAAAAGAAGUUUAGACAUGUCAAUUGCCAUAUUCCUAAAAGGCUGGGGGACAACUUCGGCUGUGUCUAAAAAGAAAGCCUUCCUUGGUUUCAUGUAUUGGAAUUUGCCACCCACAUUCUCACAAGUACCCGAGAGAUGAAGGCCAUGUGUCGUGGAUGCUCGUUCUCAAGUAUGUUUGUUUUUAAUUUCUUUUUUGUUCCUACUUUGCCGUAGUUUUCAAAUUUGUAUAUUUUUCUUGUUUUUAAUUUUCCAAGUGAUGAAAUUUCGUAAGUUUGUCUUGAAAUGAAAUGAUUUAUGGAUAUUGAAUCUCAAUUUCCUUUUUAUUUGUUUUAAUUUAAUCAUGCAUUAUUUUUUUCUUUGGCCAGAAUUCUCUUUUAAUGUAUAGGAGGAUAAGUCGUACAACAAAUUUCUAAAUCUAUGGAUUAUAAAAGCGCCACACCUAUUCUUUUUGUUUUUUUCCAAAAUUUUUAUUUUUUUAUUUAUAAUUCAACCAAGGAAUAAAAAAUUAAAUACUAUAAUAACAAUAAAUAUUAUUUUUAUACUAAAUUCAAUUAGAAUUAAAAAGAAAAAAAUUAUUUAUAUUUCUUUAUUGCUGGGUUUAUUUUUGUAUUCAUGUUUUCAAGAACCCAUUGAAAUGAGUUAUUCCUAAGCACGAGUUGGGCCCAUGUGCAGAUUGAAAAUAUGGUUAUGCUUUUGCUUGGACCUGGGCCAGUAAUUUUAAGCCCAAUUGGGUUCAGCCCAACACAGUUAACCACAAUUCUUGUUUCGGUUGAGUGGAUUCAACGGAUGUGAUGUUAUGUAAUGCAAAUUGCCAUAUUAUAUAAAAUUAAAAAUAUUUAUGUGACGUAUUAUUUAAUAACAAUACAUUCUAAAAAAUUUUGCUUUUGCUUCAUAUACAUUCUAAUAAAGUAAUGUUCAUUUUUUUUCCCUUUAUUUCCUAUGAUAUAUAGCUUUUAGAAAUUUUAAUUUCCAUGGCAUGAAUCUCUCUACAUUAAUAUAUAUAUAUAUAUAAACAAUUUUUUUCUUAUAAUAUGUAAAUAAAUUCAAAAUUUUAACCUUUCAUCAAAUGGUAGAAGAAGAAUCUUAUAUAAAUUCCACUUAGGCAAUUCAUUUAAUUAAAUAUAACUAAAGAAAAAAAAUUUUAAUUGGAAUUUAAAUUUGGUAAUUUCCACUAGGGUAUGGUCACUUCCUUUCAUCGUUUUGUACAAAAUCGGAAUUGAUGUGGUUGCAUAUAAUUUUCCUGCUAUUUUUGCAUUAAUUUCUUGGGUUUGUUUCUACUUUCUACAAAUUAAUCAUCGAUCCUUGAUUUAUAUACUUCUAAAUAAAUAAUCUAAUAAUGUUAUUCUUAUCAAAUUAAUAAUUCAAUAAAUCCAUUAAUCUCUAACUUACCUGGACAUCAAUUGUAGGUUUUAUUUAUUCAUUUUCUUCAUUUUUUUUAUGAGAAUGAUCUAGUCUUUAUUUUAUUAAUUUUCAAAAAAGACCAAAGUAAUUCCGGUAAAAGAAUUUUUAGUCUUUAGCAAUCUUAUGAAUAAUAAAAAUGUUGUAUUAGUAAACACCAACUUCCUCGGACAAAUCAAAAAGAAAAAUUGUGAGGUAGGUGACACUAGAAGUAACAUGGAAUGCUAUCUUGAGCUCCAUAUAAAUAUUCUUAUCUUAUGCACAUUAAAUAUAUUAAUUAUACAUGAAAAAAAAUAAAAAAAAUAAAAUAAAACUUGAAAAAAAAAGAAAUAAAAAUUGUAUUCAUUGACAUGUUGGUGCUGGCCUUUAGGGAGAAACCAAAAGAACAAAUUUGAUGUGGAUGGCAUUGUGACAAUUGACGUGGUUUAUCAUUUUUUCAAAUGGUCAUGUGUAAAACUUAUUUAGGUUAAAAACAAAAACUACAAAUUAUUUUAGUUUUCAAGUGAAAACUUUUCUUCUUAUAACAAUAAAUUAAAAUUAUAAAUUAUAAAAAAUUAAUACAUCAUUGAAAUUUUUUUCAGUAAGGUUAUAAUCUAGUUCACAGCUAAAUUUGAAUUAAGAUCUUUAAAAUAAAGAGGUCACAAAUGAAUUCCAUGUAAAUAAUCCAAACAUGCAUAUACUAAUUAUAUGAAAAUAGAAUAAUAAAAAUGUUGUAUUAAUAGGUGCCAACCUCUUCGAAGAAAUCGAAAGGACAAAUUUGAGGUAGGUGACACGAAGAAGCGUGCAAUCUACAUCGUGAACUCCAUGUAAAUAAUCACAUGCAUACAUAUCUAAUAUAUAUUAUUAAUUGAAUGUUAAAACAAAUAAAAUUAAUGAAUAAAAUAAAACUUAAUUUUUUAUAAAAUAAAAUAAAAACCUUUAAAAGUUGUAUUCAUUGAACAUCGUGGAUGGUGACCAUCUUAUAGGAAAGACAAAAAAGAUAAAGGACAAAUUUGAGGUACGUGACAUAUAGUGAUAAUUGGUCUGAUUUAUCAUUUUUAGGUUAAAAAACAACCUCAAUUUCUACGUAGACAAGGAGAACAUGACUCAAAUUUGUUUAAGUCAAGCUCACUUGAUUACAAAAACACAAAAUAAUAAUAAUAAUAAAAAAAACAAACAAAAAAAGAGAUGUCUUAACAAAUUUGUAUGUACAUUAAAUUACGUGCAUUUUGGUCUACUGUCUACAUACAACCAUACUUUAACCUAACAUUUGUUUAACUUAUACGUACAUUACAUUAAUAUUGCAAUACAAUAAUUAGAAACAAAUACGUGCAUUUCGAUUUACCGUCUACCUACCACCAUACUUUAACCUAAUUAUAGGAGGCCUACGUCCAUCCAAGAUACAAACAAUGAGUCGUUUGGCUUAAAGACCAAAUAUUGUCUUGCCUACAGGCAUAAGGUUACCAAAUUCGUGCACUUACAUAUUCCACAUUUCUUUUCUCGCUCAAGUCUUCUCUCUUUGAUUUAUGCUUCGAAGUGGUAUGGUCGGACAACCCGUCCGGACAUUCCUUUGUGCAGGUUGAACCGUUGUCUACCUCUUAGAAGUUAGUUGGAUUACACUCUUGUUGGUUGUGCAAAGGAGACAGGGGGCUCUGACCCCAUGCUUGUUGAAGAAUCAGCUGGCGACUCAUAGGCAGUGGCUUGGUUAAGGGAACCCAUUGGAGCCGUAGUGAAAACGAGUCUUCAUAGGGCAAUUGUCACUGCUUAUGGACCCGAACCUGGGUGAUCUAUCCAUGACCAAGAUGAAGCUUGGGUGAAACUAAAUAGAGGUUCGAACCGACUGAUGUUGAAGAAUUAACGGAUGAAUUGUGAACACUAACCUCAUUUAACAAAUUAUAUAUGAAUACAAACUUAGCCUCUAGAGUUUUAUAAUUAAGAGGCUAAGGACAUAAGUUUUGUCCACCUAAAUCUGACGGCUCAUGAAUGAUGAUGAGAGUUGGCAACUCUUUCUCAAAAAACUUUUCAAGGAACAAGCACACCUCAUACUCUAAGUAGGGAGUUAGAGGAACUGGGAAAGAAAAUUGUGGCAAAAUGCAAAGGUUUGCCUCUUGCGGUUGUGGUCUUAGGAGGCUUAUUGUCCACAAAAG
rnacentral:lncRNA from 1 species